UACGUAGGUGACAAGCGUUGUCCGGAUUUACUGGGCGUAAAGAGCGCGCAGGCGGUCGUUCAAGUCGAGUGUGAAAGCCCCCGGCUCAACUGGGGAGGGUCACUCGAUACUGAUCGACUCGAAGGCAGGAGAGGGUAGUGGAAUUCCCGGUGUAGUGGUGAAAUGCGUAGAUAUCGGGAGGAACACCAGUGGCGAAGGCGACUUCCUGGCCUGUUCUUGACGCUGAGGCGCGAAAGCUAGGGGAGCAAACGGG
rnacentral:rRNA from 1 species